rnacentral:misc_RNA from 1 species
CUUGUACUUUAAUUUUCACUGAUAUCAUUUUAUCAACUUGGUGUGUUUGGUUGCUGUAGUUUAAAUAAAAAAAUUAAUAAAGAUUGCAAAAAUGUCGAAUAAUUCGAAUCUAUCUGUGGCUGUGGUCUGUUCCUCAAACAUGAAUCGUUCAAUGGAGGCACACCAUUUCCUAGCGAAGAAGGGCUUCAACGUGCGUUCGUUUGGCACUGGUGAACGUGUAAAACUUCCAGGCACAGCUAUUGAUAAACCAAAUGUUUACGAAUUUGGCACGCCUUACGACACAAUCUAUCAGGAUCUGCUUACAAAAGAUAAACAAUACUACACACAAAACGGGUUACUUCAUAUGCUUGACCGUAAUCGAAGAAUUAAGAAGUGUCCAGAACGCUUUCAGGAAUGCAAAGAACAAUUCGAUAUCAUUGUGACCGUGGAAGAGCGCGUCUACGACCAGGUGCUGGAACACAUGGAGUCUUGUGAUCCCAUCGACAAUCGACCUGUACACGUAUUCAAUGUGGAUAUCGAGGACAAUCAUGAAGAGGCUUUAAUGGGCGCCUUUCUUAUCACGGACAUGAUAAAUAUGAUGGCAAAAUCAACCGAUCUGGAUAACGAUAUUGACGAAUUGCUGCAAGAAUUCGAGUCUCGGCGCAAUAAAACUGUUCUGCAUUCGGUACUUUUCUACUGACAAUUGUUUAAGCUGUAGAUGGAAAUCGAAACAUCGAAAUGGAAACCAUUAAAUGUAUUGUUGACAAAAUUCUGUUUGUUAACACAAGUGCACCAAACGGAGGUUGUGGCAAAAUUUUUAUGGAUCCAGCAGAAAAUACAUACAAACAUACAUAUAAGAAAUGAAACAGCGGAUGCCGAAACUAAUAUAGUUAUUGAAAAACAAAUAUACGCAUGUAAUCAAAAUCCAAGCAAAGUUGAGGUAACUCAACUCAUUUGGUGAAGAACAAUUGCGUAUAAAAACUCAUACAUGCUGGUAUGUAUGCACUUAUAAGAGCGUCUAAAAAUGCAAAACAUAAUUAUCUUGCAGAAUAUAUAAAAUAAAAUAUAAACAGAUAUUUUACAAUUUUAUAUUUAAGUAUAGUCAUUAUUAUUUUCUCCAAUCAAGUUCUUUGCCAAAGAAAAUAAGACAAUUAACGAAUAUAUAAAUGACACAUAUACAUACAUACACAUAUACUGUAUAUGUUGCAUAUUUUCAUUUAAUUUAAGCAGUCUUCAUAUUAUUUAAAAUUUCACCAAUUUUAUUUAAUUUUAAGUAUUAAGGGUUUAUGCUCGAAGUUUAUGUUUGCUCAAACUUUGCCAUAACCUAAAAAUUCAAAAAGAAAUCACAUAAAAUGUACCGCAAGUGAAUUUCAAGAGAACUGAUAUUAUUUGGCAAGUAAAACAACAAAUGUGUAUAAGAUAAAAAAUAUUAGAGAUGUAUGCUUAAAUUUAUGUAGUCGUUUGAUUGGUGAUUGAAAAAAAAAUAAAAUAAAUA